UUUUUGACUUCUCUUGACGUUUCGGUCCCUCCCAUGCGGUGCUGUUUUUGACAGUCGGGUAUUGCGUUCGAAUAACAACUCAAGCAAGCUAGCUAACUAGCCAUUUAACUGCAUUAGCUAGCUAGCUUGUCAGUGACAGGGUGAUGUGAUAACGACACAAUUAGGUAUGUUUACGAACGGUUGUAUUUAUUGAGUGGAGCAGUUUAAGGAUAAACGACGGCAUUCUGCUAACAGAAUAUGAACCAACGUUUUACUAGCCUACAGAACGUCCAAAAGCUGCUCACCGCGUCUUCCCCGGCUCCGUUGUAUAGCUACAAUAGGCUAGCUAAUUAGCCUGCCUAGAGGUUGGCUAACUGUUUUAGCUCCAAAGCUAGCUAGCUAAGUAGUAACGUUAUUGUUUUUGUGCGCGGCAGACCACAGCAUCUUUACUGUUUGCAAAGCAGUCAGUCGGCCACCUGUGUCGGAUCCCGACCUGUGGGAAGUUGAAAUUGUCCGUUUGUUUCAAUUGCAUGAGCGCGUACUGAAAAGCCGGAGAGCCCUGCACCUAAUUACCGCUCCCACCACCCACCAGGGCUGUGGCUCGACCCGGGAACACUCGGCCGAACGCUUCUGGAAACCCUAAAGGACCAGUCUCAACAGACAGGUCGUCUUUUCUCACUACAACCAAUCUACCUGAUAAAAGAUGACCAGUUGGUGGAUGUUGGCUCAGCUGCUCUCAAGGCGUUUUUCGACCAACUGAGAGAGAACUGGUUCUUGAACUGGUUCCAUUCAAAAUGCCUUGAAUUUUGGCCCCAGCUGUGGCGCAACUGGCUGGGGCACCUGCACCGUAAGCAGACGACCCAGGUUCAAUUCCUGCCCCGUGGUCCUUUCCGGAUCCCACUCCGACUCUCUCUCCCACUCACUUCCUGUCAUUCUUAACUGUCCUGUCAUUAAAGGCAUAAAAAGCCCAAAAAAAUAUACUUAAAAAAAAACAAAAAACAAAUCCUUGAAUUUCGAUGCUAUCUUGGGAACCAGCCAGCAUUUUCACUUUUUUUCACUUUUGUUUUGAACCAGUGAGGAGUCGUCAACAGAAUUUGUAGUGUGUAUAUCUAACCUAUCGAAUGACACACCCACUUUGCUUCACUUCGGUCCGAUAAUGUAACAUGCUUAUCUUCAUACUAACGUUGCAUCUGUAUUACCAUUUAUGCUAACAGGAUUAGCUACACUUAGCUACACAUUAACUCUUAAAAAAAGAAUGCAUUAACAAAACUCUGGAUCCAUAUUAUGAAUGAUACAAGCCCUAAAAAUAAAAUACUUAUAUAUAUAUAUCAAUUCUUGUGUUUUGGUUUGAUCUCCUUAUUCAAUCAUGCAGCGACCUGGGUAUAGCAGAGACUUUCUAAUGAGGAGACACAGCACUCGAAAAAUCUCCAUAGAAAUGGAUGGGGUUAGUUUGUAACGCCAAUAUGGCAGUUGUCUAUGCAUAUCACACCCCUUCUGCGGCAAAACGUCGAUAUGUGAAUACAUUGAGCCAAUCAUGUGGUGUUUUGUGUAUACACCGUGCCAAUCGUGUUGUGAUCUCGCCGCUGGAGCAAGAUUGGUGUUGUGAAGC